AGUCUACAAAACCCCACAUCCCCUGAGAAUUCUCUCGCCUGCCUUAGGCACUUAGGCUCCGGGAGAUUGCAAAUAACCUGCUUUCUUUCUGUUCCCGGGCUGCGUUCGGACUCCUGUCAGAUAGUAAAUCCUAAGUGGCGUCGGACCCCUGUCAGAGAGUAAAUCUCAAGUAAGGUACCUGCCAUCGGCAGAUUUGAGCUUUCUUCUUGGACACCUAAUACCCACAGUCCUCCAGGCUCCGGUAGACUGCAAAUGACCUGCUUUCUUUCUGUUCCCGGGCUGCGUUUGGACCCCUGUCGGAUAGUAAAUCCCAAGUAAGGUACCUGCCCUCGGCAGAUUUGAGCUUUCUUCUUGGACACCUAAUACCCACAGUCCCCCAGGCUCCGGUAGACUGCAAAUGACCUGCUUUCUUUCUGUUCCCGGGCUGCGUUUGGACCCCUGUCGGACAGUAAAUCCCAAGUAAGGUACCUGCCCUCGGCAGAUUUGAGCUUUCUUCUUGGACACCUAAUACCCACAGUCCUCCAGGAAUGGAACAGAUAAGAAGAUACUGAAAUUGGACGGUGCUGCCGUGCGGCUGCCGCAGGACACCUUUAAUAUCCCUGUUUCUCAGGCUGUAGAUGAAGGGGUUCAGCAUGGAGGUGAUCACCGUGUACAUCACUGAGGCCACUGCAGCCUUUCUCGGGGAAGAUGACACAUCUGAACUGAGGAUAACUUCAGGAAGUGGGUAUUAAUUCUCACGGUAUAAGUGAAGACAUUAAGCACCAGAGUUUAAGUAGCUUGAUCCACUGAAAGAGAUUCAACUGUGUGGAACCUAUGCCGUGGAGAAUUGCUUUCUGCCAUUGUUAUCGUCCAGCAGUUGCCGAAUAGCUCUGACCUGAGCAAAGCAGUGAAACGCGGUGCUGUUGAGUGGGUUGCCACUGCACCUUUUUCAACUACUCUAGUCUUGUGGAGAAAAUACCCCUUCUAAAUUUUUUCUUCAUUGAAUACUCUCCCUCAGCUCCAGAGUACCAUAUAGAGUUUUCUUGUAUUUUAGAGUUACUGUUUUAUCAAAGUUUACCAGUCUUUUGUAUUACAUUUCUCCUGUCUAAAUCGACUGUGUGGUUUCUACUCAUUAUGGAUAUAGAUUGAUACAAACUCAAUAAAUAUUUUUGAAUGAAUAA
rnacentral:lncRNA from 1 species